rnacentral:rRNA from 1 species
UACGAAGGGGGCUAGCGUUGCUCGGAAUCACUGGGCGUAAAGGGUGCGUAGGCGGGUCUUUAAGUCAGGGGUGAAAUCCUGGAGCUCAACUCCAGAACUGCCUUUGAUACUGAGGAUCUUGAGUUCGGGAGAGGUGAGUGGAACUGCGAGUGUAGAGGUGAAAUUCGUAGAUAUUCGCAAGAACACCAGUGGCGAAGGCGGCUCACUGGCCCGAUACUGACGCUGAGGAGCGAAAGCGUGGGGAGCGAACGAGG